rnacentral:rRNA from 1 species
AGUGAACGCUGGCGGUAGGCCUAACACAUGCAAGUCGAACGGCAGCACAGUAAGAGCUUGCUCUUACGGGUGGCGAGUGGCGGACGGGUGAGGAAUACAUCGGAAUCUACUUUUUCGUGGGGGAUAACGUAGGGAAACUUACGCUAAUACCGCAUACGACCUACGGGUGAAAGCAGGGGAUCUUCGGACCUUGCGCGAUUGAAUGAGCCGAUGUCGGAUUAGCUAGUUGGCGGGGUAAAGGCCCACCAAGGCGACGAUCCGUAGCUGGUCUGAGAGGAUGAUCAGCCACACUGGAACUGAGACACGGUCCAGACCCCUACGGGAGGCAGCAGUGGGGAAUAUUGGACAAUGGGCGCAAGCCUGAUCCAGCCAUACCGCGUGGGUGAAGAAGACCUUCGGGUUGUAAGGCCCUUUUGUUGGGAAAGAAAAGCAGCAGGUUAAUACCCCGCUGUUCUGACGGUACCCAAAGAAUAAGCACCGGCUAACUUCGUG